UACGGAGGGUGCAAGCGUUAAUCGGAAUUACUGGGCGUAAAGCGCACGUAGGUGGUUUGCUAAGUCAGCUGUGAAAUCCCCGGGCUCAACCUGGGCACUGCAGUUGAAACUGGCAAGCUAGAGUAGGGUAGAGGGGUGUGGAAUUCCCGGUGUAGCGGUGAAAUGCGUAGAUAUCGGGAAGAACACCAAAGGCGAAAGCACUUUGCUGGGCCGAAAACUGACACUGAUAGAACGA
rnacentral:rRNA from 1 species